rnacentral:rRNA from 1 species
UGGGGAAUAUUGCGCAAUGGCCGCAAGGCUGACGCAGCGACGCCGCGUGGAGGAUGACGCCCCUCGGGGUGUAAACUCCUGUUGCUCGGGACGAACCAUGGGUUUAGACCCAUCUGACGGUACCGAGUGAGGAAGCACCGGCUAACUCCGUGCCAGCAGCCGCGGUAAUACGGAGGGUGCGAGCGUUGUCCGGAAUCACUGGGCGUAAAGGGCGCGUAGGCGGUCUGGUAAGCGUGUGGUGAAAGCCCGGGGCUCAACCCCGGGUCUGCCGUGCGAACUGCCGGACUUGAGCACUGUAGAGGCAGGUGGAAUUCCGAGUGUAGCGGUGGAAUGCGUAGAUAUUCGGAGGAACACCGGUGGCGAAGGCGGCCUGCUGGGCAGUGUCUGACGCUGAGGCGCGACAGCGUGGGGAGCAAACA